GCCGGGGUAGCUCAGUGGUAGAGCGUAAGCCUGAAGAGCUUUGCGUCGUUGGUUCGAUUCCGACCCCCGGCACCA
rnacentral:tRNA from 1 species